CCGGCUGGAGUGAGGGGAGGGUGUCCCGGUCGCUCUUGCCUCUCAGCGAUGGCGCCGCGGUGCCGCGCCCAGCCUCCCGCCUGCCGGCCGGUACUCACCACUAUCGGGAGCCCGCUCAGACGGUGAAAAUUGGAGCGGGUCCGAGGGAGCGGCGGGAGGCUGCCUGCGAAGGGGACCAUGAGGAGCGGAGAGACCCGUGGGGUUGAUAGCGGGAACAGCUGCUGCACCUGCUGAGAGGAAAGAGGGAGCGGCCCGGCGCAGCUGCGGGGUUGGGACGCGGCGGAGGCUCGCCGGCGCCUCGGCCAUGUCGUUGCUCUGUGUGCGCGUUAAAAGACCCAAAU